UUCCGGUUGAUCCUGCCGGAGGCUACUGCUAUUGGAAUUCGAUUAAGCCAUGCGAGUUUAAAGGACUUCGGUCCUUGGCGGACGGCUCAGUAACACGUGGAGAACCUGCCCUCAGGAGGGGGAUAACCCCGGGAAACUGGGAAUAAUACCCCAUAGGUCUAGAAUGCUGGAAUGCUUCUAGGCUCAAAGCUCCGGCGCCUGAGGAUGGCUCUGCGGCUUAUCAGGUUGUAGUGAGAGUAACGUCCUCACUAGCCUAUGACGGGUACGGGCCCUGAGAGGGGAUGCCCGGAGAUGGACUCUGAGACACGAGUCCAGGCCCUACGGGGCGCAGCAGGCGCGAAAACUCCGCAAUGCUCGAAAGAGUGACGGGGGGAUUCCAAGUGCCUACGCUUAGCGUAGGCUGUUCAGAUGCCUAAAAAGCAUCUGGAGUAAGGGCUGGGUAAGACGGGUGCCAUCUGUGGCAGCAGCCGAAGAUUUGGCUUGUUGCUGCAAGGCAUAAGCCGCCGCGGUAAUACCCGCAGCCCGAGUGGUAGUCGAUUUUAUUGGGCCUAAAGCGUCCGUAUCCGGUCUGAUAAAUGCCUGGGUAAAUCGUCUGGCUUAACCAGACGAAUUCC
rnacentral:rRNA from 1 species